rnacentral:lncRNA from 1 species
AAGCAAAAUAACAACACACAACAAAUAUUCUUAGCACGUAAGAGUUGAAACGAGUUUACCGGAUUGACGAACAACUUCUUGAAAAUUAAAAAUCGUUGUAAUUGAACACUUGAAAACUUCAAUUCAACAACUUCACAAUGUUUCACGAAUUUGCAACAAAAAUUAAGCACUCGCACUAGAAAGAUAAAAAGAGAGCUUGAGAGAGAUUGAGAUAGAUUGAUGAAUUGGUGAAUUAAAAUGAAAGAAUGAGGGGGUAUUUAUAGUUGAGAAAUGGGA